rnacentral:rRNA from 1 species
UACGGGAGGCAGCAGUGAGGAAUAUUGGACAAGGGGCCCAAGCCUGAUCCACCAUGCCGCGAGCAGGAUGCGGUCCUAGGAUGUAACUGCUUAUACAGGAAGAACCGUACACGUCGGUAGAUGACG